UACGUAGGGUGCAAGCGUUAAUCGGAAUUACUGGGCGUAAAGCGUGCGCAGGCGGCUUUGCAAGACAGAUGUGAAAUCCCCGGGCUCAACCUGGGAACUGCAUUUGUGACUGCAUGGCUAGAGUACGGUAGAGGGGGAUGGAAUUCCGCGUGUAGCAGUGAAAUGCGUAGAUAUGCGGAGGAACACCGAUAGCGAAGGCAAUCCCCUGGACCUGUACUGACGCUCAUGCACGAAAGCGUGGGGAGCAAACAGG
rnacentral:rRNA from 1 species